rnacentral:rRNA from 1 species
GACCUACGGGGGGCAGCAGUGGGGAAUAUUGCACAAUGGGGGAAACCCUGAUGCAGCGACGCCGCGUGAGUGAAGAAGUAUUUCGGUAUGUAAAGCUCUAUCAGCAGGGAAGAAGAAGGACGGUACCUGAGUAAGAAGCCCCGGCUAACUACGUGCCAGCAGCCGCGGUAAUACGUAGGGGGCAAGCGUUAUCCGGAUUUACUGGGUGUAAAGGGAGCGUAGACGGCGAUGCAAGUCUGAAGUGAAAGGCGGGGGCCCAACCCCCGGACUGCUUUGGAAACUGUAUGGCUGGAGUGCAGGAGAGG